UACGGAGGAGGCAAGCGUUGUUCGGAAUCACUGGGCUUAAAGCGGGUGUAGGCGGGGUGGCAGGUGUCCUGUGAAAGCCCUCGGCUCAACCGAGGAACUGCAGGGCAAACCUUCACUCUUGAGGCAGGUAGGGGCAAGUGGAACCAUGGGUGGAGCGGUGAAAUGCGUAGAUAUCCAUGGGAACGCCGGUGGCGAAAGCGACUUGCUGGGCCUGACCUGACGCUGAGACCCGAAAGCGUGGGUAGCAAACAGGAUUAGAUACCCCCGUA
rnacentral:rRNA from 1 species